AAAUAUUAUGUGUGCGCACUUAAUUAGUUCUCUUGCCCAAUCCCCCACAUUUCUUUAUUUUCUUCUCUUUUUUUUUUCUCUCUCUCUCCCUCCAUCCCCCUCUUCUCUCUCUCUCUUCAUUUUCUUUCUCUCUCUGGCCUCUCAUCUGCUCCACUGGCAACAAAGAUUCCUCUGCUGGUCUUCUUCUCCUCCCUCCUCUGCAGUUCUAGAGAGAGAGAGAGAGAGAGAGAGAUUGGGUUUAGAGAGAGAGAGAGAGAUUGGGUUUAGAGAGAGAGAGAGAGAGAUGCCCCCAAGAGCCUAUGUACUAAUCUUCUUUUGCUGGGCUCUAAUCACCAUUAUCACCCCUACCCUCAUCUUCUGGUCUGCUUCAGCAAAACCAAACCUCGGUUCUCACGGAGAAGCUAUGAAUGAAAUAAAAUCAAGGAGAAUGAUGAGCUCAAUGGAAAAUCCACACUACUUGGAGAUCAAGAAUAGAAUAAUAGUAAAUACGACAGCAUUUUCGCCGGCGCCGGCCCCGGCGCCUUCGCCUCUUCCUAUGAGAGGGAUUGAUACACUUAGGUAACUACAAAUUAAGAGAUCGAUCUACUUAUUUUCCUUUCUUUUUUUUACAAUUUAUUUUCCUUUUUAUUUAUUGUUUGGAGAUAUAGAGAGAGAAAGAGAGAGGGGGGGAUUUUAGGAGGAUGAGUUGAUCUACAAUAAUAUUAUAGAAUAAGAAGUGGCCGCAGAUCUUGUUCUUACACCAUUCGAUAGGAAGAGAUUUGUUGUUACUUAAUUAUAUCUCCUUCAUUAAUUUUUUUCCCAUGUAAAGCUCCAAUAGAUUCAUAAUAGAUUCAUAAUGACUAUUAUUAUUAUUAUUAUUAUUAUUAUUGAUUCAUAUAUAUUCUUGUUCUCUAUUUCUACUAUUAAAUGUAUCCUGUGUUUGGUUUGGUAAAGUUAAAUUGUAAUAUGCAAUUUGAGAGAAAUUAAAGUGCAUUUGUGGGUG